rnacentral:rRNA from 1 species
CCUACGGGUGGCAGCAGUGAGGAAUAUUGGUCAAUGGACGAGAGUCUGAACCAGCCAAGUAGCGUGAAGGAUGACUGCCCUAUGGGUUGUAAACUUCUUGUAUAAAGGAAUAAAACGAGGCACGUGUGCCUUUUUGCAUGUACUUUAUGAAUAAGGAUCGGCUAACGCCGUGCCAGCAGCCGCGGUAAUACGGAGGAUCCGAGCGUUAUCCGGAUUGAUUGGGGUUAAAGGGAGCGUAGAGGGGUUGUUAAGGCAGUGGGGAAAGUUUGCGGCUCAACCGUAAAAUUGCAAGUGAUACUGGCAGUCUUGAGUACAGUUGAGGUAGGCGUAAUUCGUGUUGUAGCGGU